GUCCACGCCGUAAACGGUGGGCACUAGGUGUGGGACUCAUUCCACGAGUUCCGUGCCGUAGCUAACGCAUUAAGUGCCCCGCCUGGGGAGUACGGCCGCAAGGCUAAAACUCAAAGGAAUUGACGGGGGCCCGCACAAGCGGCGGAGCAUGCGGAUUAAUUCGAUGCAACGCGAAGAACCUUACCUAGGUUUGACAUAUACCGGAAAGCUGCAGAGAUGUAGCCCCCGCAAGGUCGGUAUACAGGUGCUGCAUGGCUGUCGU
rnacentral:rRNA from 1 species